GGGAAUCUACCCCUUACUCGGGGAUAACUUGGAGAAAUCCUUGAUAAUACCCGAUGUGGAGGCAACUCCAAAGAUUUAUCGGUAAGGGACGAGCCCGCGGCCUAUCAGGUAGUUGGUGAGGUAAAUGCUCACCAAGCCGAUGACGGGUAGCUGGUCUGAGAGGAUGAACAGCCAGAAGAGCACUGAGACACGGGCCCUACUCCUACGGGAGGCAGCAGUGAGGAAUAUUGCGCAAUGGACGAAAGUCUGACGCAGCGACGCCGCGUGAAGGAUGACGGUCUUCGGAUUGUAAACUUCUGUGAAUAGCACCGGCUAACUACGUGCCAGCAGCAGCGGUCAUACGUAGGGUGCAAGCGUUACCCGGAUUUAUUGGGCGUAAAGCGUUCGUAGGCGGUAGUGUAAGUCAGUAGUUAAAAUCUCCGGCCCAACCGGGGUACGGCUAUUGAUACUGCUCUACUAGAGGAAGUUAGGGGUCUGCAGAACUUAUGGUGUAGCGGUGAAAUGCGUUGAUAUCAUAAGGAAUACCGAGGGGGAAGCCAGCAGACUGGGACUAUCCUGACGCUCAGGAACGAAAGCGUAGGUAGCGACACGGAUUAGAUACCCGUUUAGUCUACGCUGUAAACGAUGCCUGCUAGAUGCUUGUUUAUAUGAGUGUCGAAGCUAACGCGUUAAGCAGGCCGCCUGGGGAGUACGGUCGCAAGAUUAAAACUCAA
rnacentral:rRNA from 1 species